GGUUGAUGUGAGGAUAAACCUUCACAUAAACGCUUAGUUGUGUUGACUCGAGAAUCAGACUACAAUUAUCUGAUCAACU
rnacentral:snoRNA from 1 species